GGGGCUGUCGCUUAGUGGUAGAGCAUCUGCUUUGCUUGAGAGGGGCCCAGUUUCAAUCCUUGGCAUCUCCA
rnacentral:tRNA from 1 species